rnacentral:rRNA from 1 species
UGGAUUAGGCAUGCAAGUCGAACGAGAAUCCGUGAGUUCAAGCCGCAAGGCAAGAAAAUACGGAGGAGAGUGGCGAAAGGGUGAGGAACACGUGGGCAAUCUAUCUCGAAGUUGAGUAUAACCCGUUGAAAAAUGGGCUAAUACUGGAUGUGAUCGUCCGCCGCAUGGCGGAUUGUUUAAAGGCAGGGACCCGCAAGGGCCUGUCGCUUUGAGACGAGCUCGCGUCCUAUCAGCUAGUUGGUGAGGUAACGGCUCACCAAGGCUAUGACGGGUAGCUGGUCUGAGAGGAUGGUCAGCCACACUGGGACUGAGACACUGCCCAGACUCCUACGGGAGGCUGCAGUCGAGGAUCAUUUGCAAUGGGCGAAAGCCUGACAAUGCGACGCUGCGUGGAGGAUGACGGCCUUCGGGUUGUAAACUCCUGUCAUUUGGGAACAAGUCCGGGCCGGGGAUAAUCCGGUUCGGGUUGAUAGUACCAGAAGAGGAAGUCACGGCUAACUCUGUGCCAGCAGCCGCGGUGAUACAGAGGUGGCAAGCGUUGUUCGGAUUUACUGGGCGUAAAGGGUGCGUAGGUGGUUUUGCAUGUCAGAUGUGAAAGCUCAUCGCUCAACGGUGAAAGUGCAUUUGAAACUGCAGGACUAGAGUACAGGGGAGGAGAGUGGAACUUC